rnacentral:rRNA from 1 species
AGGACGAACGCUGGCGGCGUGCUUAACACAUGCAAGUCGAGCGGAAAGGCCCUUCGGGGUACUCGAGCGGCGAACGGGUGAGUAACACGUGAGUAAUCUGCCCCUAGCUCUGGGAUAGCUCCGGGAAACCGGGAUUAAUACUGGAUACGACCACCUUAGACAUCUUUUGUGGUGGAAAGAAUUUCGGCUAGGGAUGAGCUCGCGGCCUAUCAGCUUGUUGGUGGGGUAACGGCCUACCAAGGCGACGACGGGUAGCCGGCCUGAGAGGGCGACCGGCCACACUGGGACUGAGACACGGCCCAGACUCCUACGGGAGGCAGCAGUGGGGAAUAUUGCGCAAUGGGCGAAAGCCUGACGCAGCGACGCCGCGUGGGGGAUGAAGGCCUUCGGGUUGUAAACCCCUUUCGACCCGGACGAUAAUGACGGUACGGGUGGAAGAAGCCCGGCUAACUUCGUGCCAGCAGCCGC